rnacentral:misc_RNA from 1 species
AAAAGAUGCAAUUUAUAUAUAAUUGUUUGGCGAUUAAGCCACAAACAUCCCUGAAACACCAUAUAGAUUCUGCUAACAGCAAUUCCAAGACCGCCAUAACCAAACAUGAGUCGCCUAAUGAACCAAGUACAAAGGCAUCUCAUAGCGUUUCUACAUUAACUAGCUAGCAAAUCCUUACUUGAUGAGGAGAUGAUCUGAAACAAGCAACCUUCAAUUCCACAACGGCUUCUAUACCCUAGACCACAUGAUAGGGGUGCUCCUGUUGGGUGGAAGCUGCACAGUCAUACAGUGUUGUUGUUGCCACUGUUGGAAACUGUCACCGGUGUUAACUGCUUCCCCGCUGUUCACUUCCUCGACUUCCAUUGAAGAGGCUUCUGUUACCUCAGCAUCCAUCGGCUCUUCCUCAGGAGGCAUAUCGACAGGAGCACAA